AGCUCCCUCUCACUCCCAGAAGCCACCCCGACUCCUUAGUCCAUUGCCGGAGCCCCUUCUUCCUCCCCCAUAGUCACCACGUCUGCUUCGGCCGCCACCUAAAUUUCGGCGAACCGAAGCCUAUCUCCCUCUUCUUUCUUUACCACUAGAACCAGAAGACCCAGGAGAACCUCGCAGGCUCUUCGCCCCGUCCCCGGAGCGGCCGUGGUCUCGGCCCCAACUCCGGCCGACGGCCUCUCCCGCGGCCACCGCGAGCCACCACGGCUGCAGCCGUCCCCGGCGCGGCUGCUGCGCUCAGUCGGGCGCGGACCGGUACCCCGAUCCUGUUGAUGGCCGGACCCCAGCUGGAGACGGCCUGAGCCUCCGGGGCAAGCGUCGGCGUGUGCUUGGCCUCAUCUCUGCCUCCCCGUCGCGAUGAAGAAGAAGGAGGAGCAGGAGGAGAGAGAGGACAAGGCAGGCCCCACCUGGCAGCGGCACAAGGCUUGUCCUCGCCCUGCCAGCGUGGAUAAGUGGAGGCGUAUUCAGCAGAAUACGUCUCCCCUUCACGAAAGCGUACUCUAAAUAUCCUUUGGCUAGAUUGCAGGUGAUGCCAUGAUCGAUUGUUUGUCGAGGUUACCAUGCGUGUGAGCUAGAUCCUGUCCCAGCCAGAGUCCCUGCGGAGUGGAGUGCACCACCUUCGUCGUUGUUCCGCUGCUACGAGUUGUUCUGUUGUUACCAUAGAGCUACCUCAGCAGGCGUAGUGUCGUUGCGCUGAUGUGAUAUUUUGUAACAUCAGACCUUGGUAUCCCUUAUUCAUUGUAAUAAGAGCUGAUUUUUUCUA